GACGAACGCUGGCGGCGUGCUUAACACAUGCAAGUCGAACGGAAAGGCCCUGCUUUUGUGGGGUGCUCGAGUGGCGAACGGGUGAGUAACACGUGAGUAACCUGCCCUUGACUUUGGGAUAACUUCAGGAAACUGGGGCUAAUACCGGAUAGGAGCUCCUGCUGCAUGGUGGGGGUUGGAAAGUUUCGGCGGUUGGGGAUGGACUCGCGGCUUAUCAGCUUGUUGGUGGGGUAGUGGCUUACCAAGGGUUUGACGGGUAGCCGGCCUGAGAGGGUGACCGGCCACCUGGGGACUGAGAUACGGCGCAGACUCCUACGGGAGGCAGAAGUGGGGAGUAUUGCACAAUGGGCGGAAGCCUGAUGCAGCAACGCCGCGUGCGGGAUGACGGCCUUCGGGGUGUAAACCGCUUUCGCCUGUGACGAAGCGUGAGUGACGGUAAUGGGUAAAGAAGCACCGGCUAACUACGUG
rnacentral:rRNA from 1 species